rnacentral:lncRNA from 1 species
AUGUUGGGGUACUCACCGCCCAAUAGACCACCAGGAAAAAAGGAGAGGGUAAAACAACCCCACUCGACGUCGUUGGCAGGUUUGGGCUCCAUAAAUCCGGGACCAGGAUGUAGCAAGGAGGAGGGGCCGGAGAGUGGAAAGCUACCAGGAAGGGGAGUAGACCAAGGCACUUUAAAGCUACCGACGGAGAAGACUGAACCUGUGAGGCCCAGGUGGAGAAGCAGGGCUUCAUUAGCCUGCUUCUCCGCUCAUUCAGGGCUCUCCCAGCCAUGUGGCUCCUGUACGGAGAGACCGGUCCUCGUGGGUGACGGGAUUAAACAUGCCUUUUUGGCUUUUGCCCAGCAAAGAUGUGUCCUGUUUUGGGAGGUAGUGGUUCGCUCACCGUGCUGGGUUACCACAAUGGCUAUGUGUAUUGUUGUGGAGGAGUGCGGUGAGGUUCCCCGACAAGACUGGGCCCACCGGGACGGCCAUGGAAAUGUUCCAUAAGUUUGAGGGACCGGUUAUAUUUAUGGACGUCUGAGGCCCCUCUCCAGCAGCUGAGUUUCCGUUUCUGACAGAUGGAAGAUGGUGGAUACGUUCAGAAUGUUAGAUUCCUGGGGACGGGGGUGUCCCUGUUGGGACUUAGCCACCGCCCGAAGUUUAACUAAUCCAGCCUGUGAAGAUGUGAAUGGCACCUUCACUGGUUUAAACCAUGUUUUAAAAGAUGCACAUAUUCCUGUCUGGCCGUUAGCCGUAAUAGUCUGCAGCUGUGGCUCAUAGGCUAAUUGAGCCACACCCAUUCUGGUGUUCCUUAAGAGGGCCAGAGUUUUAGACUGGAGGGAGGCUUGUGUUGUGCAAGUGACUCGACGGUUGUGCUAUGUGUUUUAAGUAAAAAUAUGCUUUUUAACAACAACCAUGUGCGUAGAGAAAACUCUUUUUCACAUUUGGUGGCAAUGGUGGGAUGAUUCCUCUAGCCGAGUGGAGGGGACAGUGGCGUAACUACCGGUAAGCAGGGUAUGCGGGUGCGUACGGGCCCGGGGCCAAUCAGGGGCCCAAAAAAAAAAAAAAAAAAACCCGCCCCCCCCCCCCCCCCCCCCCCCGUCAACAAUCGCUCCGAACCCCCCCCCCCCCGGUCAACAAUCGCUCCGAACCCCCCCCCCCCCCCCCCCCCUCAACAAUUUUAACGGGGGGGGGGGGGCCCGCCUUGACCAUUCUGAAUACGGGCCCGUCGUUGCCUUGUUACGCCACUGGGAGGGGACACACAUUUCGGAAAAUAUUGUUCGAGGAGC